ensembl:lncRNA
AAAGACCUGUAAGAUCAUGUAGUUCAGCCUUCAACCUAUCGCCAGCAUGCAGAAAAGAAAGCAAAGGAAGGGAUGGAAACUUCAUUUCCAUGCCAUCUCACUGCAAGGUUCACUGUAUAGAUAUGGGACCUUGUGUUUGGAGAGAGAGCUUUUAGCUGGGGCAUCAAGGCCUGAGUUUUGAGGGCAUGUGUAGUGAAAAUGCUGUCACAGCUUGAAGCAGUGAUGGAACACCUGGUGGGAAGGCAGGGCCAGCCCAUGGGAGCUCAGGUGUAUGCAAUGUACCUGAGUGACCAGAAGGGCUGCAGCCAGGAUCCACCCCUUCCAGCCCUCAUUUAAGGGUUGGCAGUGGAGGUGAGGGUAUCUUGCUGGAGAUCCCUGUGUGUCUGAGGCCUCCUGAAGAGCCCAGCGUAGGCGUGGGGUUGCAUAGGCAGAGCCCUUUGUUCUGAAGGCUGACGAGCAGAUGGAGACCAGCUCUGAGCUCAAGCUCAGGAUGUCCAGGGGUUUCAUGAGCACCCAGGGACAAAGGCUGGCAAGUGAUGAAAGGGCUCCUGCUCUCAUUUACUGCACUGGUGUUCGCAGAACUACGUCGGUGAGGAUGGAGGCUGCUGUCAUCAAUGAGCUUUUUGGCUCGGUAAUCUUGUUUGGAUUUGCCUGUUGGAUUUUAGAAGCACCCAUCUGGCCAGGAUCCUUUUUUGCCUUAACAUCUAAAUCUACGCCGCUGGUGCUCAUGCAGCAAAGCCCCAUGUGUUUUUCUGUGCUUCAGAAGGGACACUGAUGGCUCCCUCCAUUGAUCAUAGGAGAAGACUGGCACAGCAUUGAAGAUGGAGUAGUUGCUGCAUGGAGCAGCUUGGUUACCAUCACAGGAGAUGUGAUUCCCACCAUCGUUCCCAGCCAAAAUGCAGUACCCUGGUCCUGCCAUGCUCCGAGGAAUCCAUAAGGAUCCUGUUUGAAUGGAAGAUGUUGGAUGUGUUUGUAUAUGAUGGACCCAACUGAGCCAGCACUGUCUUGGAUCCUUCUUGCGUACUGGGGUGGGAAAAGCCAUCCCUUGUGCUCCUUCUGGCCUCAGUAAUCUGCAGUAAGGGUGGCACUUCAUGGAUGAGGAGCUAACGGUAGGAGAUAGGCUUAAGCCUUGGAGAAAAUGGAUGUGGAUGGGCGUUUGGUGUGAUUUUGUGCACAAUGGCAUGAGUGGCUGCUUCCUCAGGCUCCGUCCUUCCUGCAGAGCUUCUCCCUGUGUUUCUUCCAGGGUUGCUCCAACCUCCCACCCCCGAGAGGUGUUUCCUCUCCUGUGUCACUCGUGAGGAGUGACCAGGGAGAAGGAGAUGGGCUUUGAAAAGAGCCAAGGACCAAUAGGCUACUUGGGAGGCUGGAAAUGAGGGCAUUGGGUCUGGUCACAAAACACACAGUAUUUUCUCUUAAAUGUAGACGUUAAGGAUUUAAUGGAAAGAGAGGUCAGGCUUUGACCUGACCAUUGAGCAGAGUGACAGGGAUGGCUCCUCCGUGUCCUCGAUGAGGUUUUGUUAGUCUGAAGUUUAGUCCCGGUGUCGGGUGAUGCAUUUUCCAGGGAAGCUAAUGGAUGUGCUUGCGCUGCGCUGGAGUGGUUGGCGGGGGUGGGAGCAGUGACUCUCUCGUGAGAGACAAAUGACUUCCUCUUGACAAGCAGCUAUGUUUUAACUCAGAAAAUGAUGGAUGAGUCCCAAGUAAAGACUUGCACAGGCAAACUAACAUGCAAACGUCGCAUUGUCAGGGAUCCAAAAGCAAAACAAAUUAAAAUCCCAAACCACAGUGGAAAAAAAUGAAACCUCGCCGUGAUGAUGGGCAGGAACCUGAAGUGGGCCAUGGAGAAACACUUUGGGUCCAGCAGAAUGCAUCACCCACCGCCCAAGAUGGGUUCUUCUCCCGAAGAGCCCCAUUCCCAUUAAACCAAAGCCUUCCUGUGGCAUGGGGAACGCAGCCUUAUCCUUCCGCCCCGCUGUGGUCCCUCCCAGGCCAUUGUUUGGAUUUUCCUUGGCAUCCCCCAGCAGAACUUGGCUGCCAUGUUUUGCCAAAUGUUUCCCUCGUAUUUUUCUUCUGUGCUUACCUUUACAAAAGAAAGAAAAUAUUUCAUUGUUAUUUCUUCUUUUUCAUAUGCGUACAUAAAUACUUGGCAAGGGCCGGGCACGGUGGCUGCACCCAAGUUCCUGUUGUUCCUUCUGGCACUCGUGUAUCUUAUCAUUACAUCUGGGAAUCCAGAUCCAGACUCUGGACUCACUGCCCUGGGUAUGGUGUACCUGUGGAUGGAAAAGAUGGGUUCUGCUCCAAAGAGCUGCAACUAAAGCCCGGAGGUCUCCCAUUUGGAGAUGCAGAGAUGGAAAGUGGGGGCAAAGUCCCAUUGCCCAGUUGCACAGAGGGCUGGUGGGCCCUUUUCAAGGACUUCACUAAAGCAAGAGUGAUUUUGCACGUGCCUGAAAGAGGAUAGCUUCGGAGUUCUCACUUAUUGUUAAAAUUCUUAUGGCUUUUAACUUUUCAUUUGAUUUGUCAUGACUUCUGAUGUCUUUAAAACAAUGCCUGAGAAAAAGCCCUGCUUUACUUAGCAUGUGGUCCCUCCACUGCAUCAAGAACUGGGACCACAUGAGGACUCUGCGGUGAGCACCAGGAACUGUGCAGGUUUCUGAGCAUCCUGCAGAGGAAUGAGGGCAAUCAAUGCCUGCAGUUUCCUCAUCCCUUCCUCAGCCUUCCCCUCUGCAGCCCCAGAUAAACCCUGGAUGUUUAUAGACCUCAACACAAUGGUUCCCACCAGGGCCGGGCGAUGCAGGGAUACGUAAGCCGCCUGGCUGGCUCUUCUUUGAUAUUGGAAAGCUUCCAUGCUUCAGAUCCUGUUGUCAGCUGCAGAUCUCCUUAUCGUUUGACUACUGAGGAUCCAGUGAUUUGACCUAUUUUUACUGAGGGUUUUAUUUAUCCCGGCGGUCAAGAGUAAAUAAGUACGUUGCCUUCUGUAACAGAGUUCAAGCUCGUUGUGUUGUUUAAUCCUGGAAAGCGUCUUGCCUGCUUGCUUCCAGAAUUAAUUGCUGAUCUUAUUGAUCGCAAGCAGGAUGGAUGAGACUGCAAGUUAUUUUCCUGCUCGGCUGUUAAGUGUCAGCUUUGCAAGGGGAAGGCAAAUUGCACUGCCGAAGUUGUAGACUUGAUUUAAGGAUAUUAAGAAAUUUAUAGCAAAUUUUAUCGUGUUCGUUCCUCUCUGCUCCUCCUUCACCUUUUGGCUGACGGGUGGGGAGGCAGCAGAAAUCAAACCGCCCCAUUGGGGUGAGGAAUGGCUCUGUGAGGGACUGCUGCCAGCGUUGGUCAAAGGCUGUGGUUGGGGCUUUCGUUGCCCAGAGGUUUGCACAGUGAGCAAGGGAGCACGCAGCUUCUCAUGCAUGGGAAGCCAUCACCCAGGACACCUAACAAUAAAGACCAGGUUUAUUUUAAUCACCUGCCAACCCAACUUUUGGAAAGCUUGGCUCCCUUUGAAGGCCUGUCAGCAGCUUAUCUCCCUGCUGCCAAUCUGCUGAGCGUGGCUGGGCUGUCAGCUCCAUGCACAGCUGUCUCCUGUCUGCUGUUAUCAGCAGCUGGGUAUGGCUGAGCUGCCCAACACGCAUCUCACCCACAUCUGCCCUCCCAGCGACCUGCAAGGACCCAUGAAACCCACAGAGCAUCCCUCUGCCGAGCCACCUGUGUGCUCAGCCAGGCUCCUCCCAACUGCAUUUCUCUCUAAAAGCCCAGAUUAGUCUAAAAUUCUGCUGGAGAUACAGCCUGGCCUCUUAUCUGCAGCAGCAUCCAGCCCCUGAGCUGGGCAGGCUGUAUAAUGGGCAGUUACUGCUGCUUGCCCACAUCCAUCACUGCUGAGCUUCAGGGAAUGAAAGUGAUAAAUCUGGCGGUGCAAAGGGUGGGAGGCACCCGAAUUCUUCCCUCCUCCUCCAUGUGUGUCCAUCAGCCUGCUUCCAAGGCAGCCCCUUUCUAUCCUGAUGGAUUCCUCCUUCCAACCUGAUGGAUUCCUGAUGGAUUCCUGGUCUUUCUGAGCAUCAUUUUGAGGUUUUUUUCUUGCCUUUGCAUAAAGCUCUGUGCAGUGC